UACGUAGGGCGCAAGCGUUGUCCGGAAUUAUUGGGCGUAAAGAGCUCGUAGGCGGCUUGUCACGUCGGGUGUGAAAGCCCGGGGCUUAACCCCGGGUCUGCAUUCGAUACGGGCUGGCUAGAGUGUGGUAGGGGAGAUCGGAAUUCCUGGUGUAGCGGUGAAAUGCGCAGAUAUCAGGAGGAACACCAAUAGCGAAGGCAGCUCGCUGGGACGUUACUGACACUGAGGCGCGAAAGCGUGGGGAGCGAACAGG
rnacentral:rRNA from 1 species